AUUGAACGCUGGCGGCAUGCCUUACACAUGCAAGUCGAACGGCAGCACGGGUGCUUGCACCUGGUGGCGAGUGGCGAACGGGUGAGUAAUACAUCGGAACGUACCUUAUCGUGGGGGAUAACGCAGCGAAAGCUGUGCUAAUACCGCAUACGCCCUGAGGGGGAAAGCGGGGGAGCGAAAGACCUCGCGCGAUUAGAGCGGCCGAUGCCUGAUUAGCUUGUUGGUGGGGUAAAAGCCCACCAAGGCGACGAUCAGUAGCUGGUCUGAGAGGACGAUCAGCCACACUGGGACUGAGACAUGGCCCAGACUCCUACGGGAGGCAGCAGUGGGGAAUUUUGGACAAUGGGGGCAACCCUGAUCCAGCAAUGCCGCGUGAGUGAAGAAGGCCUUCGGGUUGUAAAGCUCUUUUGUCAGGGAAGAAACACCGGCUCUAACACAGUCCGGGAAUGACGGUACCUGAAGAAUAAGCACCGGCUAACUACGUGCCAGCCGCCGCCGUAA
rnacentral:rRNA from 1 species